ensembl:misc_RNA 7SK 7SK RNA
GGAUGUGAGGGCGAUCUGGCUGCGACAUCUGUCACCCCAUUGAUCUCCAGGGUUGAUUCGGCUGAUCUGGAUGGCUAGGUGGGUGUCCCCUUCCUCCCACACCGCUCCAUGAGUGUCCUUCCCCACGCUGUGCGCUCGGUCGAAGAGGACGACCAUCCCCUAUAGAGGAGGACCAGUAUACGAGUAGCUGUGCUCCCCUGCUAGAACCUCCAAACAAGCUCUCAAGAUAUGUUUGCUGAAAACUCUGAGAAGGCAGAGAAAUCUGAUUAGCCUAACAAUUGUGGCUGCAGAACCCAUUUUCAUGGAAUAUUUGUUUCUAUAUUUAGGGUG